rnacentral:rRNA from 1 species
GAACGCUGGCGGCGUGCCUAACACAUGCAAGUCGAGCGGACUACAUGAAGGGGUAACUCUUCAUGUAGUUAGCGGCGAACGGGUGAGUAACACGUGGGUAACCUACCCUCAGGUGGGGGAUAACUCGGGGAAACCUGAGCUAAUACCCCAUAAGACUACGGGCUGAAAGGCUUGUAGUAAAAGAAGCAAUUCGCCUGAGGAUGGGCCCGCGGCCUAUCAGGUAGUUGGUAGGGUAAUGGCCUACCAAGCCUAUGACGGGUAGCCGAGCUGAGAGGCUGGCCGGCCACACUGGGACUGAGACACGGCCCAGACUCCUACGGGAGGCAGCAGUGGGGAAUCUUGGGCAAUGGGCGAAAGCCUGACCCAGCGACGCCGCGUGGGGGAAGAAGGCCUUCGGGUUGUAAACCCCUUUUGCAGGGGACGACACAGGACGGUACCCUGCGAAUAAGCCACGGCUAACUCUGUGCCAGCAGCCGCGGUAAGACAGAGGUGGCGAGCGUUGCUCGGAUUUACUGGGCUUAAAGGGCGCGUAGGUGGCCUUGUAAGUCAAAGGUGGAAUUCCACAGCUCAACUGUGGAACUGCCUUUGAUACUGC